GACGGAGGAUGCAAGCGUUAUCCGGAAUGAUUGGGCGUAAAGCGUCCGCAGGUGGCAGUUCAAGUCUGCUGUCAAAGACCGGGGCUUAACUUCGGAAAGGCAGUGGAAACUGAACAGCUAGAGUAUGGUAGGGGCAGAGGGAAUUCCUGGUGUAGCGGUGAAAUGCGUAGAUAUCAGGAAGAACAUCGGUGGCGAAGGCGGCCAUCUGGACGGAUACUGACGCUGAGACGCGAAAGCGUGGGUAGCAAACAGG
rnacentral:rRNA from 1 species